rnacentral:rRNA from 1 species
CAAGUCGAGCGAUGAGACUCCUACGGGAGCACAUCAGCGGCAGACGGGUGAGUAAUCACGUAGAUGACAGUACCCUCAAUGACGGGGAGUAACGGAUGGAAACAUGCGCUAAUACCGGAUGAGCUUACGAUGUCUGACUGGUCAGGAAAGCUACGGCGCUUGAGGAGCUGGUCUGCGGCCCAUCAGCUAUUCGUGUAGGGUAAAGGCCUACCAACGCGAAGGACGGGUACGGGGUGUGAGAGCACGGGCCCCCACAAUGGGACUGAUACACGGACCAUACUCCUACGGGAAGCAGCGGCAGGGAAUAUUGCACAAUGGACGGAAGUCUGAUGCAGCGACGCCGCGUGAGUGAAGAAGGCCUUCGGGUCGUAAAACUCUUUUGCAGGGGGAAGAGCGAGGACGGUACCCCUGGAAUAAGCGUCGGCUAACUACGUGCCAGCAUGCCGCGGUAAGACGCUACGACGCGAGCGUUAUCCGGAUUUACUGGGCGUAAAAGCGUCUGUAGGCGGAUGUGGUAAGUAGGGGGUGAAAGCUCCGGGCUUAACCCCGGAGAGGGCCGUUCAAUACUGCAUAACGUGAAGGUGUCAGAUGAGGGAGCGGAAUUCCCGGUGUAGCGGUAGAUCUUGCGCAGAGAUCGGUGAUGAACGCCAGUGGCGUAAGCUGUCCCUGGGGCACACCUGACGCUGAGAGACGAAAGCUAGGGGAGCGAACAGGAUUAGAGACCCUCGGUAGUCCUAGCCCUAAUCGAUGAAUGCUAGGUGUGGGAUCGAAUGGUUCCGUACCGGAUCGAACGCGAUAAGCAUUCCGCCUGGGGAGUACGGCCGCAAGGUUAAAACUCCUACGAAUUGACGGGGCCCCGCACA